rnacentral:rRNA from 1 species
CGCGUAGGCGGCUUGGCAAGUCAGAUGUGAAAGCCCCGAGCUUAACUUGGGAAUUGCAUCUGAAACUGUUGAGCUUGAGUCCUGGAGGGGAUAGUGGAAUUCCCAGUGUAGCGGUGAAAUGCGUAGAUAUUGGGAGGAACACCUGUGGCGAAGGCGGCUAUCUGGACAGUGACUGACGCUGAGGCGCGAAAGCUAGGGGAGCGAACG